GUAAAAUACUUUAGGUGUAACUUUCAAAAAUGCCACGGUUUUCGCGAUUUUGUUAUUUGGGUUGGCCUACCUGGUAGCUGGUUGUGGACUUCGGCCCCGGACGGUGAAGUUUUGGGGUUUUCUGCCAUGUGUUCCUCAAAUCAAGUCACGCUGGCAUCAGAGAAAAUGGAGCUGACAACACUCUGGGAGCGGGUGUGGCCUGAUGAUGUCAUCUCUGAUACGCCACUGUCUGAUUGGCUGGAGUGGUUGGACUGGGACUCUGGGAAUUAUCUUAACCAAAGCAGGCAGACAGACCUGGCAGGCUGGAGGAGCUGGAUCCAGACUUGAUGGAGGAAGAGGAGAGGGAGGACCAAUCGUAGGCUGCCUCCGUCCUCCUCAUUGCCUCCUGGAUCAGACAGAUUUACUACAGGACAAGUUUACCUUGGCGAUGCGGAUACUGUUGAUCCAUUGUUGGAGGGUUCUGACAUCAUCACAACAGAGCCAUCUCACAUGUCUCCUUCCGCCCCAGUAAAUAGUUCUGCAGGUAUGACAGAAGUAGCAGGAGAGACAGGCAUCUCACCUGUGGGUUUUUGAACAGAGCAUACUUCUCGAUGCGUUCGGUGAACAUCAGGCGGUUCUGGCUGUCUCUGGUCCAGUUCAGCAGGUUCUCCACCAGGUUCUCGUGAUCCUCGAAAAUCCGCUCUGCACAGAGUGAAUUUAACUUAAUUAAAUUAAUUCAGUUAAUUUUACUUGGAACAUGCUGUAAAAUUAAUGUAAGGCAGUUUCAUCUAGUUCUGUGCUGCACACCAAUUCUACCCUACUAUGAGUAUUAACGUCACUGGCAGGACUCAAACUGAAGUAAUGAGCAUAUAGGUAACAGGUUGCUGUCAUAUUCAUGUGUGUUUCUGUGUCACUAAACCGUUUAUUUUUCAUCUGGAGAGUGUCAAGGAAUAAAAAUAGUCAAAUGUGAA